AUUGAACGCUGGCGGAAUGCUUUACACAUGCAAGUCGAACGGCAGCACGGGGGCAACCCUGGUGGCGAGUGGCGAACGGGUGAGUAAUACAUCGGAACGUGCCCAGUCGUGGGGGAUAACGUAGCGAAAGCUACGCUAAUACCGCAUACGAUCUACGGAUGAAAGCGGGGGAUCGCAAGACCUCGCGCGAUUGGAGCGGCCGAUGGCAGAUUAGGUAGUUGGUGAGGUAAAGGCUCACCAAGCCGACGAUCUGUAGCUGGUCUGAGAGGACGACCAGCCACACUGGGACUGAGACACGGCCCAGACUCCUGCGGGGGGCAGCAGUGGGGAAUGUUGGACAAUGGGCGCAAGCCUGAUCCGGCCAUUCCGCGUGCAGGAUGAAGGCCCUCGGGUUGUAAACUGCUUUUGUACGGAACGAAACGGCUCUCUCUAAUACAGGGGGCUAAUGACGGUACCGUAAGAAUAAGCACCGGCUAACUACGUGCCAGCAGCCGCGGUAACAC
rnacentral:rRNA from 1 species